rnacentral:snRNA from 1 species
UAGUCUUACAGCUAUUUCAGAAUUUUCAAGCAGGUUUUCCAGUCGCUCUGGAGGACCCCC